GAUGAACGCUGGCGGCGUGCCUAAUACAUGCAAGUCGAGCGAACGGACGAGAAGCUUGCUUCUCUGAUGUUAGCGGCGGACGGGUGAGUAACACGUGGAUAACCUACCUAUAAGACUGGGAUAACUUCGGGAAACCGUAGCUAAUACCGGAUAAUAUUUUGAACCGCAUGGUUCAAAAGUGAAAGACGGUCUUGCUGUCACUUAUAGAUGGAUCCGCGCUGCAUUAGCUAGUUGGUAAGGUAACGGCUUACCAAGGCAACGAUGCAUAGCCGACCUGAGAGGGGGGUCGGCGCACCUGGAACUGAGACGCGGACCAGGCGCCUACGGGAGGCCGCAGGAGGGAAUCUUCCGCAAUGGGCGGAAGCCUGACGGAGCAACGCCGCGUGAGUGAUGAAGGGCUUCGGAUCGUAAAAAUCUGUUAUUAGGGAAGAACAUAUGUGUAAGUAACUGUGCACAUCGUGACGGUACCUAAUCAGAAAGCCACGGCUAACUACGUG
rnacentral:rRNA from 1 species